CUGCUAACGCGGGGGUCCUGCGUUGCACAUCGCGAUCCAAUCGGCUUCAUCGAACUGGAUCGCUUCGUGUGGCGUGGGUGAGAAAUACCCUUUGAACCUGAUCUGGAUAAUGCCAGCGCAGGGAAGCGUUCGGGUUCCACGG
rnacentral:ncRNA from 1 species